AGGAGGAACAACCCCAGUGGCGGGGCCAGCUCUGGAGCCCUGGAGUCCGCUCCUGCAGGAACUACUGAGCUCUUGGUCUGCAGGUCCUGGAGGCUUUGGGGCAGG
rnacentral:pre_miRNA from 1 species